CAUAGGUUGAGGAGGCGGUGACCGUGGCGGUGGAGGAGGAGGAUGAGGUAGCCAAAACUGUUUUUAUAUAUAUAUAUAUAUAUAUAUAUUAAUUGGGGUAGCCCCCAAAAUAUUGGGACAUAUAAAAAAAGACAACGCUGUUCCGCAGAGUAGCUGUUGACAUUAUAGUUGCGCAGGAACUUUGAUGACUCUAGAAAACCUCGCGCAAAACGCACAUCCCCAUGGCUGGGACUUUGCAUGCGGAUGUCAUCCAUAUCAACUUUCGAUGACAAUUUCUGCGCCUACCAUGGUGAGCACGGGUAACGGGGAAUCAGGGUUCCAUUCCGUACAGGGACCCUGAGAAACGGCUACCACAUGCAAGGAAGGCAG